rnacentral:SRP_RNA from 1 species
CGGUGGCUGGAUAUGGGUUGAUAUUUGCAUUUCCAGGCAUUAUAAUAAAUCAUGUUGUGCAUGCAAACGGGAGCUGGCCGCCACAUGAAUGUGUCCGGGUCUUAAGCGACGCAAGUCCGUGAACCCCGUCAGAUCCGGAAGGAAGCAGCGGUAAGCGGAGCCUUGCGGGUGCCUCAAGGUUGCCUGGAUGGAAUCAUGUGGCGACCAGCUCCUGCCUGCAGGCAGCCGUUG